rnacentral:rRNA from 1 species
CGGUGGUGAUGGCUAAGGGGAUCCACCUGUUCCCAUCCCGAACACAGUAGUUAAGCCCUUAAACGCCGAAAGUACUUGGGGGGCAGCCCCCUGGGAGGAUAGGAAAUCGC